GUGGGGAAUAUUGCGCAAUGGGCGAAAGCCUGACGCAGCAACGCCGCGUGAGGGAUGACGGCCUUCGGGUUGUAAACCUCUUUCGAGCAGGGACGAUAAUGACGGUACCUGCAGAAGAAGCUCCGGCCAACUACGUGCCAGCAGCCGCGGUAAUACGUAGGGAGCGAGCGUUGUCCGGAUUCAUUGGGCGUAAAGAGCUCGUAGGCGGCUUGAUAAGUCGGAUGUGAAACCUCCAGGCUCAACCUGGAGUCGCCAUCCGAUACUGUCAUGGCUAGAGUCCGGUAGGGGCCCACGGAAUUCCUGGUGUAGCGGUGAAAUGCGCAGAUAUCAGGAGGAACACCGGUGGCGAAGGCGGUGGGCUGGGCCGGCACUGACGCUGAGGAGCGAAAGCGUGGGGAGCGAACAGGAUUAGAUACCCUAGUAGUCC
rnacentral:rRNA from 1 species